rnacentral:rRNA from 1 species
GACGGAGGGUGCUAGCGUUGUUCGGAAUCACUGGGCGUAAAGGGCGCGUAGGCGGCCUUGCAAGUCGGUUGGUGAAAGCCCGGGGCUCAACCCCGGAGGUGCGGCCGAGACUGCAGGGCUGGAGGCCGGAAGAGGAGGGUGGAAUACCCAGUGUAGAGGUGAAAUUCGUAGAUAUUGGGUGGAACACCGGUGGCGAAGGCGGCACUCUGGGCCAGAACUGACGCUGAGGAGCGAAAGCGUGGGGAGCGAACAGG